rnacentral:rRNA from 1 species
AACGAACGCUGGCGGCAUGCCUAACACAUGCAAGUCGAACGAGACCUUCGGGUCUAGUGGCGCACGGGUGCGUAACGCGUGGUAACCUGCCCUUAGGUUCGGAAUAACUCCCCGAAAGGGGUGCUAAUACCGGAUAAUGUCUUCGGACCAAAGAUUUAUCGCCUUUGGAUGGGCCCGCGUUGGAUUAGCUAGUUGGUAGGGUAAAAGCCUACCAAGGCGACGAGCCAUAGCUGGUCUGAGAGGAUGAUCAGCCACACUGAGACUGAGACACGGCCCAGACUCCUACGGGAGGAAGCAGUGGGGAAUAUUGGACAAUGGGCGAAAGCCUGAUCCAGCAAUGCCGCGUGAGUGAUGAAGGCCUUAGGGUUGUAAAGCUCUUUUACCCGGGAUGAUAAUGACAGUACCGGGAGAAUAAGCUCCGGCUAACUCCGUG